UGGAGCAGAGAAAUGGAAAGAAUAUCUGGCAAGGAAUGCUGGGGGAAUGAGAUGGAAUCUGAAGGCAGACAAAACAAGAGGUGAUCUGGUGAGGACUUUGUCUGCCCAGCAACAGAGUGCUUGAGGGGACAUCCAAUGUCCUUGUAUCCCAUCUGCUUGCAAAUAAAGCACCCAAUGGUUUUGCGGAUACGCUGUGUGAGAGGAAAAUAUACACGCUCCCUUAAGCCGAGUAAACGUCACGGUUUCCACACCCCGAGGGAGGACAGGAGAUGGACAGGAGGGGGACACCGGCUUUCGACGUCAAAAGCAACGGGUUAUACGGAGUGUCAACACCGUGAAUAUAGGCUACAGCAUUACAGUGCAUCUUCUUCACAGCCUCUGCAUUAAAACAGCUGUCACGGUUCAAACCUUUCCACCGGGACUCGUGUUUAACAUCGCGACUCUUCCCCCGUCGCUGAGCCGCUCUCCAGUGCUGAAACCCCGGGCGCAGCUGUCGCUCCGUCCCCUUAGGAAACUGUCCUAAUGAAGGAGGCCGACGCCAUCAAGCUCUUCAUUGGCCAGAUCCCACGGAAUCUGGAGGAGAAGGACCUGAAGCCCAUCUUUGAGCAGUUUGGGAAGAUCUAUGAGCUUACGGUGAUCAAGGACAAGUACACGGGAAUGCACAAAGGAUGUGCGUUCUUGACGUACUGUGCGAGGGAGUCAGCCUUGAAGGCCCAGAAUGCACUGCACGAGCAGAAGACAUUGCCGGGGAUGAACCGCCCCAUUCAAGUGAAGCCAGCAGACAGUGAGGGCAGAGGAGACAGGAAGCUGUUUGUGGGGAUGUUGGGGAAACAGCUGUCAGACACCGAUGUAAGAAAAAUGUUUGAGCCUUUUGGAAGUAUAGAGGAGUGCACGGUACUCAGAGGGCCUGACGGAGCCAGCAAAGGUUGUGCAUUUGUAAAGUAUCAGAGUAAUGCAGAAGCGCAGGCGGCCAUUAAUGCUCUACACGGCAGCCGCACUCUCCCGGGUGCAUCUUCUAGUCUGGUGGUGAAGUUUGCAGACACAGAGAAGGAGAGAGGAAUCAGGCGUAUGCAGCAGGUGGCCUCCCAGCUGGGUGUCAUUAGUCCCAUGAGUCUACACCUGGGCGCCUACAACGCCUACACACAGGCACUCGUCCAACAGCAGGCCUUGGUGGCUCAGUCCGCAUAUCUGUCUCCUGUGGCGACGGUUGCCGCGGUGCAGAUGCAGCAGUUGGCUGCUCUCAAUCCCAGCAGCAUCAUAGCCACACCCAUCGCCUCAAUCACGCCCUCCUCAGUAUUUGUAAUGGGUCAUUCUGCUGUAGGUACAAGUACUCCUCCAGCCAUUGCUGCCACACCUUUGUCUGCUUUGCCUCCACCAAUCGCACUCAACAGUUACCCUCAAGUCUCCGCACCACCCAAUGGCCAGUCUGCCACUGAAACCCUCUACACUAAUGGUGUCCAUCCAUAUCAGGCUCAGAGUCCUGCAUUGGAUCCUCUCCAGCAGGCGUAUACAGGCAUGCAACACUACACGGCUACAUAUCCUGCUGCUUAUGGAUUGGUUGGUCAACCAUUUCCACAUCAGCCCACUUUGGUUGCCCAGCAGCCGCAGCAGCUGCAACAACGAGAAGGCCCAGAAGGCUGCAAUAUAUUUAUUUAUCAUCUGCCUCAGGAGUUCACCGACUCUGAGAUGCUGCAGAUGUUUCUGCCCUUCGGUAACGUCAUUUCAGCCAAGGUGUUCGUUGACCGCGCCACCAACCAGAGCAAAUGCUUUGGUUUUGUAAGCUUCGACAACCCAGCGAGCGCUCAGGCUGCCAUCCAGUCCAUGAACGGCUUUCAGAUCGGCAUGAAGAGGCUUAAAGUUCAGCUGAAGAGGCCUAAAGACGCCAACCGCCCAUACUGAGCCGAACAGGCUGCCCUGUCCAAUCAUAACUCGUGCGGAGACCACGUCGCUAUGGCUACGGUGGCCUAGCAACCAAUAAAGCUCCCCCUUCCUCCCACAGCGUUGGUUUGGAAGAAAGGAGAGGACUAUCGGAGUCAAUUACAAGUCUCUUUUCCUCCUCUGCAAAUUACGGGACCAACAACUUUCACAAAACUACAGUAUAAAACCUACCGAGAUUAUUUAAACAAAAAUAUACAUUUAAUCACAAAGACAGACUUAUCGCAAGAAGUGCAGGUUAAAUAGAAUGAUUUGCUACCUUAACUGUAUACAAUAUAGGACCAAUCAGCAACGCAAUGCCACUUGCUCUUCUGCUUGUGGGUCGUGACCUUUCUGCUCUCGGCCCACACAUCUAUGCCCUGCACACACACACAAAUGGGACCAAUGCAAAUAUGUCAGUACUACACGAGUUUCGCUUCUGGGUUCAAAGGAACUAUGAACUAUUAAAGUCUUUCUGCAGCAAUGUAAAAUAUGUAUAUAGAAAUGUGAGGGGACCAUGUGUAGACAUAUCGAAACGGUUGGGAGGGUGGGACUGGGUCAAUGUGAUCAGAGCAAAGAAUCAUGGGUGGUAUAUGGUAGAUAGAGAAAGAAUGUCCUUUUGGGAGUUUUGAAGGAUUUGCUCUUGGUCUCUAAUCUGAGUCCAGUUAUACAUAGUUCUUCAUCUUCAACACUUAAGGAAACGAAUGACCUGUGGUAUGGGAUGCUGGUCCUAUAUCGCAAACCUCCCUAAAAUGACUGAAUAUAGUUUAUCACAGAGAGGCUGUAGUUAGAGUUUUUUAUUUUUAGGUUUGUUAGUUUUUCUUCUUUUUUUUAAUUUUUUUUAUUGUGGAUGAUUCGAGAAGAUUCAUGAAAGUUAAAAACAUUUAAAAAUGUAUUUCAUUGUAUAUAUAUCAUGCUUUUAAAAUGAAGGUCAAGAUUUAAACAUUUGGGAUAUUAUUAUUAUUAUUAUUUAGGG